CAUGAGUUGAUCUCUUUCUGACUCUUAACUCUAUCAAACCCCCAAACCCUAAAAUCUCACACACCUCUGACCUAUCUAACUCCCUCUCCUCUCUCUUUGUCUCUCCCAAAUUACUCCACGAAUCCACCGCAGCAACUCUGCAAGUGACUCCAACAGCCCUCUCCGGCAACCGUGAGUCUAACACUCCAACCCAUCCUCUCCGACGACCGCAAGUCCGCAAGUAACUUACAGUGCAUUGAUUUGUGCCCUCUUGGUAGUUGGCCUAAAGGCUUCUUGAGAGAUGGAUUCUGGAUGCUCAUCUUAUUUCACAAAUUGUUGUACUUGUUUGUAUUGUAUUAAUGGAUUAUUGAGAUUUGUAUAAGUUGUCUUGUAUUAAUGAAGUUUGAAAGUUGAACCAUUGUUUUAAA